rnacentral:rRNA from 1 species
GACGAACGCUGGCGGCGUGCUUAACACGUGCAAGUCGAACGGAAAGGCCCUGCUUUUGUGGGGUGCUCGAGUGGCGAACGGGUGAGUAACACGUGAGUAACCUGCCCUUGACUUUGGGAUAACUUCAGGAAACUGGGGCUAAUACCGGAUAGGAGCUCCUGCUGCAUGGUGGGGGUUGGAAAGUUUCGGCGGUUGGGGAUGGACUCGCGGCUUAUCAGCUUGUUGGUGGGGUAGUGGCUUACCAAGGCUUUGACGGGUAGCCGGCCUGAGAGGGUGACCGGCCACAUUGGGACUGAGAUACGGCCCAGACUCCUACGGGAGGCAGCAGUGGGGAAUAUUGCACAAUGGGCGGAAGCCUGAUGCAGCAACGCCGCGUGCGGGAUGACGGCCUUCGGGUUGUAAACCGCUUUCGCCUGUGACGAAGCGUGAGUGACGGUAAUGGGUAAAGAAGCACCGGCUAACUACGUGCCAGCAGCCGCGGUGAUACGUAGGGUGCGAGCGUUGUCCGGAUUUAUUGGGCGUAAAGGGCUCGUAGGUGGUUGAUCGCGUCGGAAGUGUAAUCUUGGGGCUUAACCCUGAGCGUGCUUUCGAUACGGGUUGACUUGAGGAAGGUAGGGGAGAAUGGAAUUCCUGGUGGAGCGGUGGAAUGCGCAGAUAUCAGGAGGAACACCAGUGGCGAAGGCGGUUCUCUGGGCCUUUCCUGACGCUGAGGAGCGAAAGCGUGGGGAGCGAACAGGCUUAGAUACCCUGGUAGUCCACGCUGUAAACGGUGGGUACUAGGUGUGGGGUCCAUUCCACGGGUUCCGUGCCGUAGCUAACGCUUUAAGUACCCCGCCUGGGGAGUACGGCCGCAAGGCUAAAACUCUAAGGAAUUGACGGGGCCCCGCACAAGCGGCGGAGCAUGCGGAUUAAUUCGAUGCAACGCGUAGAACCUUACCUGGGUUUGACAUGGAUCGGGAGUGCUCAGAGAUGGGUGUGCCUCUUUUGGGGUCGGUUCACAGGUGGUGCAUGGCUGUCGUCAGCUCGUGUCGUGAGAUGUUGGGUUAAGUCCCGCAACGAGCGCAACCCUUGUUCACUGUUGCCAGCACGUUAUGGUGGGGACUCAGUGGAGACCGCCGGGGUCAACUCGGAGGAAGGUGGGGAUGACGUCAAGUCAUCAUGCCCCUUAUGUCCAGGGCUUCACGCAUGCUACAAUGGCUGGUACAGAGAGUGGCGAGCCUGUGAGGGUGAGCGAAUCUCGGAAAGCCGGUCUCAGUUCGGAUUGGGGUCUGCAACUCGACCUCAUGAAGUCGGAGUCGCUAGUAAUCGCAGAUCAGCAACGCUGCGGUGAAUACGUUCCCGGG